rnacentral:RNase_P_RNA from 1 species
CGAGCCGGGCGGACGGCCGCGUGAGGGUCCUUGCGAUCCCUCCCGAGGAACGUCCGGGCUCCACAGGGCAGGGUGGUGGCUAACGGCCACCCGGGGUGACCCGCGGGACAGUGCCACAGAAAACAGACCGCCGGGGGCCUCGCGUCCUCGGUAAGGGUGAAACGGUGGUGUAAGAGACCACCAGUGCCCAGGGUGACCUGGGCAGCUAGGUAAACCCCACCCGGAGCAAGGUCAAGAGGGGCCGCCUCCUCGGAGGCGUCCCUGCGCGGACGAUCGAGGGCUGCCCGCCCGAGUCCGCGGGUAGACCGCACGAGGCCGGCGGCAACGCCGGCCCUAGAUGGAUGGCCGUCGCCUCGACGACCGCGAGGUCCCGAGGCACAGAACCCGGCGUACAGCCCGACUCGUCUG